UACGGAGGGUGCAAGCGUUAUCCGGAUUCACUGGGUUUAAAGGGUGCGUAGGUGGGUUGGUAAGUCAGUGGUGAAAUCUCCAGGCUUAACUUGGAAACUGCCAUUGAUACUAUCAAUCUUGAAUACCGUGGAGGUCAGCGGAAUAUGUCAUGUAGCGGUGAAAUGCUUAGAUAUGACAUAGAACACCAAUUGCGAAGGCAGCUGGCUACACGAAUAUUGACACUGAUGCACGAAAGCGUGGGGGAUCAAACAGGG
rnacentral:rRNA from 1 species